GAUGAACGCUGGCGGCGUGCCUAAUACAUGCAAGUCGAGCGAACAGACGAGGAGCUUGCUCCUCUGACGUUAGCGGCGGACGGGUGAGUAACACGUGGAUAACCUACCUAUAAGACUGGGAUAACUUCGGGAAACCGGAGCUAAUACCGGAUAAUAUAUUGAACCGCAUGGUUCAAUAGUGAAAGACGGCUUUGCUGUCUCUUAUCGAUGGAUCCGCGCCGCACUAGCUAGUUGGUAAGGUAACGGCUUACCAAGGCGACGAUGCGUAGCCGACCUGAGAGGGGGGUCGGCCACACUGGAACGGGGACGCGGUCCAGACGCCUACGGGAGGCAGCAGUAGGGAAUCUGCCGCAAUAGGCGAAAGCCUGACGGAGCAACGCCGCGUGAGUGAUAAAGGUCUUCGGAUCGUAAAACUCUGUUAUUAGUGAAGAACAAAUGUGUAAGUAACUAUGCACGUCUUGACGGUACCGAAUCAGAAAGCCACGGCUAACUACGUG
rnacentral:rRNA from 1 species